rnacentral:misc_RNA from 1 species
UCCGAGUUGACCCCCAUCUCUGGGGGCUUCCCGUAUAUGUCAAACCCAGGUAAGGUUCUUCGCGUUGCAUCGAAUUAAUCCGCAUGCUCCGCCGCUUGUGCGGGCCCCCGUCAAUUCCUUUGAGUUUUAGCCUUGCGGCCGUACUCCCCAGGCGGGGCGCUUAAUGCGUUAGCUGCGGCACGGAACUCGUGGAAUGAGUCCCACACCUAGCGCCCAACGUUUACGGUGUGGACUAC